CGAGGAGCCAGUGGUGGCCGUGUCCUC
rnacentral:piRNA from 1 species